rnacentral:rRNA from 1 species
GACGAACGCUGGCGGCGUGCUUAACACAUGCAAGUCGAACGGAAAGGCCCUGCUUUUGUGGGGUGCUCGAGUGGCGAACGGGUGAGUAACAAGUGAGUAACCUGCCACUGACUUUGGGAUAACUUCAGGAAACUGGGGCAAAUACCGGAAAGGAGCUCCUGCUGCAUGGUGGGGGUAGGAAAGUUUCGGCGGUUGGGGAUGGACUCUCGGCUUAUCAGCUGGUUGGUGGGGGAGUGGCUUACCAAGGCUUUGACGGGUAGCCGGCCUGGGAGGGGGACCGGCCACAUUGGGACUGGAAUACGGCCCAGCCUCCUACGGGAGGCAGCAGUGGGGAAUAUGGCACAAUGGGCGGAAGCCUGAUGCAGCACCGCCGCGUGCGGGAUGACGGCCUUCGGGUUGUAAACCGCUUUCGCCUGUGACGAAGUGUGAGUGACGGUAAUGGGUAAAGAAGCACCGGCUAACUACGUG